rnacentral:rRNA from 1 species
UGAGCAACCUGCCCUUGACUCUGGAAUAACAGUUGGAAACAGCUGCUAAUACCGGAUACGACCUCCGAUGGCAUCAUCUGGAGGUGGAAAGCUUUAUUGUGGUUUUGGAUGGACUCGCGGCCUAUCAGCUUGUUGGUGAGGUAAUGGCUCACCAAGGCGACGACGGGUAGCCGGCCUGAGGAGGGUGACCCGGCCACACGUGGGACUGAGACACGGCCCAGACCUCGUACCGGGGA